CCCUUUCCUGGUGUGACUGCCUCCUGCACCUGUUGACCACCUUCCUCCUCUGAGGUGCUGGAUGGGCACUCCCUGGGGAAGGGACGUGUCCUCAACACAAAGAUGGCUCCUGCUGUCGCCAGCUGAAAUGUGGCGAAUAGAUACAUUCUAUUGCAGAAGAAUGGUGGCAAAUAAGUGAAUUCAAAAGAGCAAAUCAGCCUGAGCCAUAAGCCUAGUAAAGAAAAUAAGGCUUUUCUUUGAUGAGGUUUUGUUAAACAUACUUUAGGACAAAACUAUUUGUAACAGUGUUAUCAGACCAAUACUUAGCACAGUUCCUGGUAAGGGCGAGGGAUCAAGGAUGAUGGGGAAAGAAAGCUAAAUGAUGAUGUAAAUGCUUGUAUGGGAACUGCUGAGUCACAGCCUGAACCACUGAUUGAUCACCUGAGGACCCCAUUUAAGGGCUGACUGCCACUGGGGAAGGAUCUCUUUCUGGUGAUCUGUCCUUUGUAGAGCUUUUCAUUGUGAGCCUAAAUCUUUGGAUACAGGAAGCAGUCCCACUGAGUCAAUGAAGGCAGCUGUGCUAGCCAGGGCUGUGACCUGAGCCAUAGCCUGAACAAUAAAUUCUGUGAAGGAAGAAGGGCAAACCUCUGGGAAUUGCCUGUUUCCUUGGAAGAUGUGAGGAGCCUGUUGCUUGGAGGACCUCACUGCAUCUGUCGAGCAAGGAAAAGGCAGUGCUGCCCCACAAUGGACAAAAGGGAUGCAAGAUCCCAAGGUCUCCUUCGGCGUCAGAUUUCCAACUUCAGGUCUAAGGAUUUGAAGGGCUUCAACUGAGUCACACAACUCUGAUGGUAGCGGUGCCCAAUCUUCAGCUGUUGCAUCAGCAAAAGAAUGCAUCAGAAGCAGAUGUUGGUGGUACGGCAGUAGAGGCUGAACCUUUCCACCAGUAUUUCCUUCCAUUCUGUUGCCAUGUGACAGAUGGCAGCAGAGGCGGCGUCUGACAUGAAAGUGCGGGUGAAGCAAAGGUGUCCCUGAAUUCCUCUGUGCAGAAAAAAAUGGCACCUAUUGACAUUCACCAAUGCUUGCUGAACGUUGAUGGAGACCAAACAGUGGACGUGAGCACACAGUGAGGCAGUGGGUGAUGUGUUUCAGCAGUGGUGACAGCAACAUGAAAGACAAGCCAUGUUUCAGAUGGCCACGCACAGCUGUCACACCACUGAAUGAAGAGCAUCUCAAUCACCUAACCCAGGUGAACUGGUGGAUUUCAGAGUACUGUGUACAGAACUGAAUACCAUCUUAAAUGUGUUGGAAACAAUGGUGGCAAUAUUGGAAUAUCACAAAGUUUGCAGCAGGUGGGUCUCAUGAUUGCUCACACUGGAACAGAAAGAACACUGUAUGCAACUUUGUCAGGACCUACUGAACCAACACAAGGCUGAAGGUGACGGUUUCCUGGUUUCAUUACCAGUAACAAGUUGUGGUGUUACCCUAAGAGCUGGUGUCAAAAUGGCAGUUCAGGGAGUGUCAAUGUGAAUUCCCCAUUGAAGAAAAAGUGCACUGUGCAGCCCUCAGCAUUUAAAGUGAUGUGCACUGUCUUUUUGAGAUAGGAAAGGGGUAAUCCUUUUUGGAGUUCCUGGAACACAGGCAAACCAUCAACUCUGACGGCUACAUCACAAUGCUGACUAAGCUGACGUUCAACUUUCCAGAGUCAGGCCAGAGAAGAAGACGAGGUUUCUCUUGCAACACGAUAAUGCCAGGCUUCAUUCCAGUUUGAAGACUGUGGAGCACUCUGCCAAUCCUGUCUGGACUGUCCUACCACACCCACCAUACAGCCUGGAUUUGGCACCUUUUGAGUUCCAUCUGUUUGGGCUGAUGAGAGAUGGACUGCAUAGGCAACAUUUUCCUAGCAAUGACAUCAUCAUAGCAGCCAUGAAACAGUGGGUCAGCUCCCCUGGUGCAGAUCUUUACGAGCACAGCAUGCAGGCUCUUGUUCAUCACUGGUAAAAAUGGCACAGCUAAUGGUGGUGACUAUGUUGAAAAAUAGAGCAAAUUCUCAGCUCCAAAACACUAUCAAAUAGUGUUCUUCUGCUGUUUGUUGUGCUUUCCAUGAAAAUAAAUCGGAGGUAGUGUUUUCAGAGC
ensembl:lncRNA